rnacentral:tRNA from 1 species
AGUGCUAUGGCGCAGUGUGUUAACGCCCUGGCCUGAAGAGCCAGCAUCCCAUAUGGCGCCAGUUCUAGUCUGGCUGCUCCUU